ACUCCUACGGGAGGCAGCAGUGGGGAAUAUUGCACAAUGGGCGCAAGCCUGAUGCAGCGACGCCGCGUGGGGAUGAAGGCCUUCGGGUUGUAAACCCCUUUCAGCAGGGAAGAAGCGAAAGUGACGGUACCUGCAGAAGAAGCGCCGGCUAACUACGUGCCAGCAGCCGCGGUAAUACGUAGGGCGCAAGCGUUGUCCGGAAUUAUUGGGCGUAAAGAGCUCGUAGGCGGUUUGUCGCGUCUGCUGUGAAAUCCCGAGGCUCAACCUCGGGCCUGCAGUGGGUACGGGCAGACUAGAGUGUGGUAGGGGAGACUGGAAUUCCUGGUGUAGCGGUGGAAUGCGCAGAUAUCAGGAGGAACACCGAUGGCGAAGGCAGGUCUCUGGGCCACAACUGACGCUGAGGAGCGAAAGCGUGGGGAGCGAACAGGAUUAGAUACCCUGGUAGCUAGUAG
rnacentral:rRNA from 1 species